rnacentral:rRNA from 1 species
GACGAACGCUGGCGGCGUGCUUAACACAUGCAAGUCGAACGGAAAGGCCCUGCUUUUGUGGGGUGCUCGAGUGGCGAACGGGUGAGUAACACGUGAGUAACCUGCCCUUGACUUUGGGAUAACUUCAGGAAACUGGGGCUAAUACCGGAUAGGAGCUCCUGCUGCAUGGUGGGGGUUGGAAAGUUUCGGCGGUUGGGGAUGGACUCGCGGCUUAUCAGCUUGUUGGUGGGGUAGUGGCUUACCAAGGCUUUGACGGGUAGCCGGCCUGAGAGGGUGACCGGCAACAUUGGUACUGUGAUACGGCCCAGACUCCUACGGGAGGCAGCAGUGGGAAAUAUUGCACAAUGGGCGGAAGCCUGAUGCAGCAACGCCGCGUGCGGGAUGACGGCCUUCGGGUUGUAAACCGCUUUCGCCUGUGACGAAGCGUGAGUGACGGUAAUGGGUAAAGAAGCACCGGCUAACUACGUG